UGGGGAAUAUUGCACAAUGGGCGCAAGCCUGAUGCAGCCAUGCCGCGUGUAUGAAGAAGGCCUUCGGGUUGUAAAGUACUUUCAGCGAGGAGGAAGGCGGUAAGGUUAAUAACCUUAUCGAUUGACGUUACUCGCAGAAGAAGCACCGGCUAACUCCGUGCCAGCAGCCGCGGUAAUACGGAGGGUGCAAGCGUUAAUCGGAAUUACUGGGCGUAAAGCGCACGCAGGCGGUCUGUCAAGUCGGAUGUGAAAUCCCCGGGCUCAACCUGGGAACUGCAUUCGAAACUGGCAGGCUAGAGUCUUGUAGAGGGGGGUAGAAUUCCAGGUGUAGCGGUGAAAUGCGUAGAGAUCUGGAGGAAUACCGGUGGCGAAGGCGGCCCCCUGGACAAAGACUGACGCUCAGGUUCGAAAGCGUGGGGAGCAAACA
rnacentral:rRNA from 1 species